rnacentral:tRNA from 1 species
CGGAGCAAGCGGGCCUUGAUCCCCAAAAAUUAGUUAGCAGCUAAUUACCCUAACCAGCGGGCUUCUACUCG